rnacentral:rRNA from 1 species
AUUGAACGCUGGCGGCAUGCCUUACACAUGCAAGUCGAACGGCAGCACGGGAGCAAUCCUGGUGGCGAGUGGCGAACGGGUGAGUAAUACAUCGGAACGUGCCCAAUCGUGGGGGAUAACGCAGCGAAAGCUGUGCUAAUACCGCAUACGAUCUACGGAUGAAAGCAGGGGACCGCAAGGCCUUGCGCGAAUGGAGCGGCCGAUGGCAGAUUAGGUAGUUGGUGGGGUAAAGGCUCACCAAGCCAACGAUCUGUAGCUGGUCUGAGAAGACGACCAGCCACACUGGGACUGAGACACGGCCCAGACUCCUACGGGAGGCAGCAGUGGGGAAUUUUGGACAAUGGGCGCAAGCCUGAUCCAGCCAUGCCGCGUGCAGGAUGAAGGCCUUCGGGUUGUAAACUGCUUUUGUACGGAACGAAACGGCCUUUUCUAAUAAAGAGGGCUAAUGACGGUACCGUAAGAAUAAGCACCGGCUAACUACGUG